GAUGAACGCUGGCGGCGUGCCUAAUACAUGCAAGUCGAGCGAAUGGAUUAAGAGCUUGCUCUUAUGAAGUUAGCGGCGGACGGGUGAGUAACACGUGGGUAACCUGCCCAUAAGACUGGGAUAACUCCGGGAAACCGGGGCUAAUACCGGAUAACAUUUUGAACCGCAUGGUUCGAAAUUGAAAGGCGGCUUCGGCUGUCACUUAUGGAUGGACCCGCGUCGCAUUAGCAAGUUGGUGAGGUACCGGCUCCCCAAGGCAACGAUGCGUAGCCGACCUGAGAGGGUGAUCGGCCACACUGGGACUGAGACGCGGCCCAGACUCCUACGGGAGGCAGCAGUAGGGAAUCUUCCGCAAUGGACGAAAGUCUGACGGAGCAACGCCGCGUGAGUGAUGAAGGCUUUCGGGUCGUAAAACUCUGUUGUUAGGGAAGAACAAGUGCUAGUUGAAUAAGCUGGCACCUUGACGGUACCUAACCAGAAAGCCACGGCUAACUACGUGCCAGCAGCCGCAGUAA
rnacentral:rRNA from 1 species